UACGUAGGGGGCAAGCGUUGUCCGGAAUCAUUGGGCGUAAAGCGCGUGUAGGCGGUUCGGUAAGUCUGCUGUGAAAGUCCAGGGCUCAACCCUGGGAUGCCGGUGGAUACUGUCGGACUAGAGUACGGAAGAGGCGAGUGGAAUUCCCGGUGUAGCGGUGAAAUGCGCAGAUAUCGGGAGGAACACCAAUUGCGAAGGCAGCUCGC
rnacentral:rRNA from 1 species